CUGAGGGUGUUUGUGGAAACUCAGAGGAAGAGUGUUGGAUCCUCUGGACCUGGAGUGAGCUUAGCCAAGGAGCCAUCUCUGCAGACUCAAUCUCACCGAUUCCUUUUGGAGGCUCUAUUCCUUUCUAGGUAUGGAUGCUAUGGUGGUACCCAGUGGUACAGUGGCAGGUGAUUUCUUCAGAAUGCUCAUGAAGAAUUUGAGGGUGGAGAUUUAAGGUGUCUGAGUCCGGAACUAUCUGAAUGCUUUCAGCAUCCAUCAAAG
rnacentral:lncRNA from 1 species